rnacentral:rRNA from 1 species
AUACGGAGGAUCCGAGCGUUACCCGGAUUUAUUGGGUUUAAAGGGUGCGCAGGCGGCCAUUUAAGUCAGCGGUUAAAUCGUGGGGCUCAACCCCAUUCUGCCGUUGAUACUGGGUGGCUUGAUUGCGGUCGAGGUUGGCGGAAUUCGUUGUGUAGCGGGGAAAUGCAUAGAUAUGACGAAGAACACCGAUUGCGUAGGCAGCUGACCAGACCGCAAAUGACGCUCAUGCACGAAAGUGCGGGGAUCGAACAGGAUUAGAUACCCUGGUAGUCCGCACAGUAAACGAUGAAUACUUGUUUUCGGCGAUAUAAUGUCGGAGGCAAAGCGAAAGCGAUAAGUAUUCCACCUGGGGAGUACGCCGGCAACGGUGAAACUCAAAUGAAUUGACGGGG